AUGACUGACCCUGUCUACACAACGGCAGCACGGUGCCCUGGGGGGAUGUGGGCCUCCGGAGAAGAGCUGCACGUGUUCCCCUUGGUCUCGGGGUGUCAAGCCCCGAAAGAAGGCGACCCUGUAGUCCUGGCCUGCUUGGCAAGAGGAUACUCCCGAGAGUCAGUGCAGGUGACCUCGGUUUCGGAGAAGCGGGACCAGGCCACAAAGACCAAUCUCUUCACGCUGAAGACCCCCACCAGUGCAGCACCGCCAGCGGCAAGCUGCAGAAGGCCUUCCGGUGGCCAGCAUCUUGGGAAAAUAAGACCCCCCUGUCGACUCUUGGGCCAACCCCAUCAGAGGACUCCACCACAGUGCCCAGCACUGCCAGGGUCUCAGUGCCUUCCACCAGCCACACCCAGGUGCAAACCAGAGAGCCGGAAAGGACAGCGGACGCCAGUCGCAGAGCACCACCCCCAGGCCGGGUCUGCGCGCCCCAGUGCCCCCAGUGACCGAGGCCACUGUCCUCUGGCAGAGUGUCGGAACCACACCAGCCCUCCCAGCCUCUACCUGCCACAGCCUCCCCUGCAGGGCCCAUGGCUCAAGGGACGGGCCACCUUCACCUGCCUGGCAGUGGGGGCUGGCCUUCAGGAGGCCCGCUUGUCCUGGGAGGUGGCCGGGGCGCCCCUGCACGCGGGUGUGGACAGUGGGCCGCUGGAGGAGAAUGCCAAUGGUUCCCAGAGCCUGAGAAGCCGCCUGGACUUGCCCGUGGCCUCCUGGGCCUCGGGGGCCAACAUCACCUGCACGCUGAGCGGCCCGGACGUGGCUUCCCAAGUGGUGUCCGCAGCUCCCAAGGAACACGCUGCCUCUGCGCCCAGCAGCCUCACGGUCCACGUCCUGACUGUGUCCAGAGCAGCCUCCUGGCUCCUGUGCAAGGUGUCCGGCUUCUCGCCCCCAGACGUCCUCCUCACCUGGCUAAGGGACCAGGUCCAGGUAGACUCUGCUUCCUUUGCCACUGCACCCCCCGCAGCUGAGCUGGGGAGCAGCACCUUCGAGACCUGGAGCAUCCUGCACAUCCGCACGGCCCAGGCCCCUCGCCCGGACACCUACACGUGUGUGGUCCGGCACGAGGCCUCCCGAAGGUUGCUCAACGCCAGCUGGAGCCCAGACACGGCCAGUCUGGACAUGGCCCCCCCAGCCCCCCAGAGCCAUGACGAGAGCGGCGGCGGCUCCACGGACCUGGAAGACACCGGCAGACUGUGGCCCACGUUCGUGGCCCUCUUCCUUCUCACUCUGCUCUACAGCGGCUUCGUCACCUUCAUCAAAGUGAAGUAGCCCCAGGAGAGCGGAUGUCCUGCACCCGCAGAGAAGGGAGGCUGGGACUCUGGCCUGUGCGUGGCGCCCCGGCCCCACUUCGCCUGCCCCAUGCUCGUCUCUGUCCACCUGUGCCCAGGGCUCGGCCGCCAAACCCAGCCCACGCUUCCUGAACCCGCGGCCCUGACUGUGGGCCCUUGUCUUCCCGCCUGCCAGCCGGCCCCAUAAACAACUUGCUCACA